AGGGGUUUACGUUAAUUAGACACCUAGCCUUCAAAGCUAGCAGUAGAAGUGCAAAUCUUUUAACCCCUG
rnacentral:tRNA from 1 species